rnacentral:sRNA from 1 species
UGUCUGCCCAUGGGUCUGCUUAGGCAGUCGCUGGGUCUAGCUGACUUAGAAUGGCCAUUUUGCAAAUGCCAUUGCAACUGCAAAUUGUCUAGAGAUUCAUUUGGAAGUAAAUCAAAUAAAAUUAAAUAAAAUAAAGCAAAAACAAAAACAAAAGCAAAAACAAAAAACCACAACUAUGACAGCGAAGAGGGCUAGAAAAUAUAGAAAGAAAAAACUAGAAAAAAUAAUGCCAAGAUUGGCAGACAUCUUGUCAACAUGUGUCCCCACCACUACUUAAGAUUACAGCAAAAAAA